UACGUAGGGGGCAAGCGUUGUCCGGAAUCAUUGGGCGUAAAGAGCGUGUAGGCGGUCCGAUAAGUCCGCUCUGAAAGCCCGGGGCUCAACCCCGGGAGGCGGGCGGAUACUGUCGGGCUAGAGUCCGGGAGAGGCAAGUGGAAUUCCUGGUGUAGCGGUGAAAUGCGCAGAUAUCAGGAGGAACACCGAUGGCGAAGGCAGCUUGCUGGGACGGUACUGACGCUGAGACGCGAAAGCGUGGGGAGCAAACAGG
rnacentral:rRNA from 1 species